rnacentral:rRNA from 1 species
AAUAAGCUAAUUAAGAGCGUAAGGUGGAUGCCUUGGCUCUCAGAGGCGAUGAAGGACGUGAUAAGCUGCGAUAAGCUACGGGGAUUGGCACACACAAUUUGAUCCGUAGAUUUCCGAAUGGGGAAACCCACUAUAUUGAAGAUAUAGUAUCCGUUAAGGAAGCAAACCCAGGGAACUGAAACAUCUAAGUACCUGGAGGAAUAGAAAACAAAAGUGAUUCCGCUAGUAGUGGCGAGCGAACGCGGAACAGCCCAAACUAAAAUUGUUUCGGCAAUUUUGGGGUUGUAGGACCACGAUAUUGAAUGUUUAAUGAAUUAGAAUUCUUUGGAAAAAGAAACCAUAGAGGGUGAUAGUCCCGUAUAA